GUGAUUCAGCGUCCCUCUUAGCAGCAGGCAAUGACAGAGGCAGGAGAGGGGAAAAAAAAAAAGAAAGAAAGAAAAAACACAGCAAAUGAAUCAAACGGACGUGAGUAACAAAAGUUUAGAAAGAGCUGGGCUCGUAUUCAGAAAAAACGCCUCAUCCCCCCGCCCCGCUGCACUCCCAACCCCUUUAAAAAUAGCAGAUAAUCAAGAAAGGAAACGGGUGCUUUCAUAUGGAAAUACAGAUGUCAGGUAGCAGGCAAGAGUGUGGUUAUCGUUGGACCAGGAUUCAGGAUCUGACUGAGUAGCUGACUCUUAAUCCAGUUUGUGUUGAUCACCAGGAGGAUCUGGACCUCAGUAUUACCACAUCUAGAGCUAUAAUCACAUCCCUGUUAAGCCUUCCUGAGAUCACACCAAAUGUCCUUGAUGGGAAUUGUAAACAACCCUUACUUCUGGUUUCUAAUGAUAUUCCAGGAAAGGAGCCUAACUAGAGUCAGUGAGUAUUCAUGCACUUCAAACCCUGUGACAUAAUAAGAUUUGAUUUUUAAGAAAACAACUUGAGAGGAUGGAUUCAGAAAAGAGGCAGAUCCAAGGGAGAGUCUAAACUGGAGAGCAGUGGCAAUGAACAGGAGGAGGCCAUAUCGAGAGAUGAAUUGAUCAUCUUAUAGACCUGGAGGUCAGAAAUCUAAAAUCAAAGUGUGGGCUGUGUUCCUUCUG
rnacentral:lncRNA from 10 species